ACUGUUUAAUUUGUAUUUUAUUGCACCGACUACGCCAAAACAAAUUCCUUGUAUGUCCAAAAACGUACUUGGCAAUAAAGCUUUUCUGAUUCUGAUUCUUCAAGAAGAACCCCAAUGAGGAGUUCGGGAAAUUCCAGGAAUCAUGAGCAGAACUUUAACGAUGUGGAGAACUGCUGGAGAAGUGCUGACACCUGGAUCAGAGAAACAUCUGCAGCUCAGCAUCUUGUGCAGAAGGAGAACGGGCAUCAACCUUCUCAGAGAAAUGAAAACACUGAUGGUGAACAGCACCUUGGCUGUUAUGACUUUCUGAUGAGGAUUUUAGUUACACAGAAGAUCUUUGCUGUCCCUCAACGUGACCACUAGAUGGCAGCAUGUGUUUCUCACUGUUAUCUGACCAUGUGAGCAGUUCAGACCAGGAUCCAGAAACAAAAUACACAAGUCCAUCAGGAAGAGCCUUACAGUGGUGCAGUUUGUAGUCCUGGGUUCAGAUCCCAGCCUGGGGUCUUGGUACAUGGCUCCAUUGCAUGAGUGGGUUCUCUCUGGGUGCUCCAGCUUCCUCCCACAGUCCAAAGCAUGAUUGAUAGCUUGUGUUUUGGACUGUGUCUCUAAAUUGUCCUCGGAUGUUUGCAUGGUGGUUUGUUCUGUGUUGUCCUUUAAUUUACAGGAGACCUGUCCAGGCCCCCCCCCCCCCAUGACUGUGCAAGGACAAGCAGAGGUGGAUGAAUGGCUGAGGUCUGGACUUUGACUGGGCCAUUGUAAUUGAUUCUUUCCUUUUGCAGCCAUUCUGUUUCUCCAGUGUUUGGGUUCGUUGUCCUGUUGACCCCUCCACAGACUCACCCCCCUUGGACAUGGAUGAGGGCUUUCAGUACCACCAUCAUCCUAGAGGAUGGCUUUUCUACUGGUCUUAAUGGGAGGGUCAGUUAAAGAGGGAUUCUUGGACCUUGAUGAAGGACCCAAACGGAGCCACCAAAGGAAACAGUAAAGCCCUCUUUGAUUAGAAACCUGGAAGGAACAAAGACCACACGAUGAGCACUGAUGGAGAUGAUCCAGUUUACCAGGAGCUGAAUGACCACCAGAUGGUAUCAGUGCUGGUAUCAUGAGGCAGACAGACACAGCCUUCUGGAAGACACGGUGGAUCUGAAGGCAGAGAGCUGCUGAGGCAAACCUGCGUCAUCAUCCAGAUCUGUGAGGAAACAUCUCCUAACUUCACUGGGAGAAGAUCCACAGAGCCGAGAAACCUGCUGCAAAACUGACCGAAGCCAUCAAACUAACCUCUGACUGACGCGCACACACACACACUUGUUUUUCUAUAUGUAGUGAGGACCAUCUGUUGACUUCCAUUGAUUUUCAGUCAUUUUCAACCCUUUCUAACCCUAACCCUGACGAUAACCCUAAACCUAACCAU